GAUGAACGCUGGCGGCGUGCCUAAUACAUGCAAGUAGAACGCUGAAGGAAGGAGCUUGCUCUUUCCGGAUGAGUUGCGAACGGGUGAGUAACGCGUAGGUAACCUGCCUGGUAGCGGGGGAUAACUAUUGGAAACGAUAGCUAAUACCGCAUAACAGUAGAUGUUGCAUGAUAUCUACUUAAAAGGUGCAAUUGCACCACUACCAGAUGGACCUGCGUUGUAUUAGCUAGUUGGAGAGGUAACGGCUCACCAAGGCGACGAUACAUAGCCGACCUGAGAGGGUGAUCGGCCACACUGGGACUGAGACACGGCCCAGACUCCUACGGGAGGCAGCAGUAGGGAAUCUUCGGCAAUGGACGGAAGUCUGACCGAGCAACGCCGCGUGAGUGAAGAAGGGUUUCGGAUCGUAAAGCUCUGUUGUAAGAGAAGAACGAGUGUGAGAGUGGAAAGUUCACACUGUGACGGUAUCUUACCAGAAAGGGACGGCUAACUACGUG
rnacentral:rRNA from 1 species